GCCGGCACUGCGCAGAUUGUGAGGCGCGCCUGACUGUAAAUCAGGUCUUUCGAGUGAGGGGGUUCGAAUCCCUCUGCCGACA
rnacentral:tRNA from 6 species